rnacentral:misc_RNA from 1 species
GAACGCACCUUGCGCUCCUUGGUAUUCCGAGGAGCAUGCCUGUUUGAGUGUCAUUAAAUUCUCAACCUCACCAGUUUUGUCAUGAGACUAUGUAAGGCUUGGAUGUGGGGGUUUGUGCAGGCUGCCUCAGCGCGGUCUGCUCCCCUGAAAUGCAUUAGCGAGUUCACUAAGCUCCGUCUAUUGGUGUGAUAAUUAUCUACGCCGUGGUACGGGUUUAGACUUGCUUCUAACCGUCUGCAAAGACAACUUUUGACAAUUUGAUCUCAAAUCAGGUAGGACUACCCGCUGAACUUAAG